AGCGAACGCUGGCGGCAGGCCUAACACAUGCAAGUCGAACGGACCCUUCGGGGUUAGUGGCGGACGGGUGAGUAACACGUGGGAACGUGCCUUUAGGUUCGGAAUAGCUCCUGGAAACGGGUGGUAAUGCCGAAUGUGCCCUUCGGGGGAAAGGUUUAUCGCCUUUAGAGCGGCCCGCGUCUGAUUAGCUAGUUGGUGAGGUAAAGGCUCACCAAGGCGACGAUCAGUAGCUGGUCUGAGAGGAUGACCAGCCACAUUGGGACUGAGACACGGCCCAAACUCCUACGGGAGGCAGCAGUGGGGAAUCUUGCGCAAUGGGCGAAAGCCUGACGCAGCCAUGCCGCGUGAAUGAUGAAGGUCUUAGGAUUGUAAAAUUCUUUCACCGGGGACGAUAAUGACGGUACCCGGAGAAGAAGCCCCGGCUAACUUCGUGCCAGCCGCCGCCGUAAAAU
rnacentral:rRNA from 1 species